GGGAGCAAUAGAGAUUUUAGCCUGUAAAAGUAGUGUGUAAUUGUUAAGAAUCUGGUUUGGCCUAAGUUGGAUGAGUAGUUGGAAAUCCUGACUGAAUCAGACUUAGGGAAUAUACAGACACAGAAACACAUAGUCGGGCCUUGCUUGUUGUCAUAGACUAUGAAGCCGCAAUUCACCUUUGGAAGGUUGACAAGUUUGACUUUGUUGUCUGCAUAAGUGCCUAUAUCGACGUCGUUUUUGGCAGCACUGAAAUUGGACUAGUCUUAGCGGUUGCAAUAUCUGUGAUCAGGGUACUUUUGUUUGUGGCAAGGCCAAGCACUUGUGUUCAAGGAAACCUUCCGAAUUCCAUGGUUUGCAGAAAUGUUGAGCAGUAUCCCAAUGCAAGCAAUGUUCCUGGAAUUCUCAUACUUGAGAUUGAUGCUCCCAUUUACUUUGCAAAUACCAACUACUUAAGAGAAAGGCACACAUGUUGGAGAGGACUUGAUGAAGGCACCGUUGUAGUUGGGACUUGCAUGAUUUAAAAGCUACAAUGGCUGGUUGCAUGUCAACCCCAUCCAAAACAAUUAAAUCACGGAAAAUACACUGUCAGCGGGUCAUCAAACGCCAUAAAAAGGCAACCUGCUCUGCUUCAGAUAGUACCAAGAAAAGAAAUACCAGUUUCAAGAAAAUAAAUAGCGAUGCAGGAGAUUGCAUGAGUGACUAUGCUGUCAGUGAGUUUGUUCAUGUGGACUUUGAGAAUGGUGCAACAACUACUCACAGAAGAUCUAAGGUUCCUAAUUCUACAUUCCAUCUCACCCAGCUGCAAUGGCACCACAGUCAAUAUGAUUUGAAUGGUGUUUGCUUUCUUUCAUCAGAUUUCAACUAUCUUUCAAUUUCAACCAAUAGUGCUGACAAGAAAAUUCGUAGCUCUUGAAUCCCAUAUUUUGAAAGUUAUUCAUUUGUAGUAAUUUGCCAAGAGGAAGCUGACUCAGUGAGUAUUCAGGAGUCUGACAACUUUAUCAGUAUACAUGGAGAUGGUUUUCCAUUAGCAAGCAAUCCAAUUGGGAAUAUCUCAAGUGGCCAAGUACUUCAGUAUGAAAGAUCUGCUCGCUUUGUUGAUAAUGGGUGUAAGUAUGAAGAAUACCAAAGCUAUAUGAAAAUAGAUGGAGGUAAAUCAGAUAAAAUCAUAGGCAAAGAUGAGUGCAGGGAAUCAAAUCGGUCGCUUAUUAGUACCCAGGGCUAUGAGCUUUCUCGCUUAGGAAGGCUGAUGAAGUUUGCAGUAAGAGGAAGAAUAUAUUAGAUCACUCUUAUGGAAGCUUUAAAGGACUUAGAGAGGAUGGACGUGAUUCUAAUGAAAAAAUUCAAGACAAUGCCCUGAAAUCCGGGUUAUCUCGAUUGGUACCUUCUGUAAGUUUCAACGAUAAGAUUCUAGGUGCACAGAGUUUGGUUCCACAGUCCCAGAGAAAGCCAUCAGCAGUGUUUAGGCUUUCUUUUAAAAGGAGAUCCUGUGAUGCAGAAGAAACCAUUGAACAAUGUCAAUCAAAAAGGUUUCUGUAUCGGCCUAGACCAGGAUAUAUGAUUCCAUGUUGUAGAGUAGAGAAGCCGACUUCAGGAUCUUGGUCUGAGAUUCCACCCUCAACUUUUAAACUCCGUGGCCAGAACUAUUUCAA